AAUUGCAAAUUCAAGAGAAAGCAGCACAGGAGGUGAAACUGGCUAUCAAGCCAUUUUAUCAGAAUAAAGACAUCACGAAGGAAGAGUACAAGGAGAUUGUGCGGAAGGCGGUGGACAAAGUUUGUCAUAGUAAGAGUGGAGAAGUAAAUUCUACUAAAGUGGCAAAUCUGGUUAAAGCAUAUGUAGACAAGUACAAAUACUCACGGAAGGGAAGCCAGAAGAAAACUCUGGAAGAACCUGUGUCUACCGAAAAAAACAUAGGCUGACCAGAGGAGCACUGCCAAGGACACUGUCAAGAUGUCUGUCAAGUGCAAUUCAGCGUGUCCCCUUAACUGAAGUCAUACGCAACUGUGAUGGAAAUCUGGUUUUGAUAAAAUUAUUUUUUUUACUGUAGGAUAUGUUUUGUUCAAAGUAUAGCUGUGCACUGCAACUUCUAUAUCUAACCCUAAACCCCAAUAAAACAAAUUCAAGGGAAAACUAAGGGUGUAAUGGAAUGUGCGUUUUUAUCAGGAAUGUGUUCUAAUGUGGAUACUGAAAGAUGUAUAGCUUUUUUAGGAGAACAGUGGAAUGCAUAAACCAGGCUUGUACAAGUGCUGGUUUUGGAAGACAUGUCUAUAUCUAUGUAUAAUACAUUUAUUCUGUCAGGCUGAAAAACUUUGAUCUUUAGGACCUUGCCCCUUCUAACUGUAGAAAUUUAAACAGUGUAUUGCUAUUGAAUAUAUCUGAUAUUAAUAGAACAUGCCAAGUGCAGGUCCCAAAUGUGUAUUUGUGAAGCACAUAUCUGAGUUAAUGGCUUAGAUAGAAAGCAAAUAUCAUGAGUAAGAAUUAGCCUCAGACCUGCAGCUGCUCCUUCUUGUCACCAGAGAAAGGUCACACUGUGUGUGGCUUUUGUUCUUUUCUCUCCCAAUCUAGACAAAAAAAAAUUAGUGGUUUAAUUUGCUACAUUACAACUUUGCCGGUUCAAAGCUUUGUUGAAUUUAGAAGACUAAUUUGGGGGGAAUAAAACACUAUGUUCUUUCAUUAUACCUUUUAUUUAUCAGUGAUAGUAGAUUAUGUGUGCCAACUGGAGAAAUACUACUAGGUGAUGGGGACUACCAUAGAAUUUAAGACCUACUUCCUGGCUCUGUCAUGGUGUCAGUGAAAUUCUUCUCACACUUCAAAAGUUCCCUAAUGGUUUACAGUGAAUAAAGUGUUAAUUUGUUGAUUGGUAGCCCUGCUGCAUAAAUUCUAGAUAUUAUAACUGUGUCUGACAGAAGAAAGGAAAAUUAAAUAAUGCUAUCUUUGCAUAGGGGUCAGGUAUUAGAGUUGUUGAUGUUUAUGAAAGGUAUGGUCACAGUGCUUAUGGCUCUGUUACUUUCAUUGACAUCUGGGAAGGAAAUCUUCCUAUGAAAAACUUUGAUUGCAGUUACAAUUUUCAGUAGAUAUCAAUAGCUGAGAAGAUGUUCCAAUAAUGCGGUGAUGCAUCAGGUGAAGCACAUAUGACAUAGAUGAGGCCUACCCAUUCACUCACAAGGACAGCGGUCUCUCUGAGACUAUACUUUUCCUAGAGUACAGGCAACCUGGUCCUUAGUUCUGCAUAAGCUUCCAGCUAGCUUUGAAAGGAAGGCUAACUGUGACUUUAACCCAGAGUGAUUGCACUAGGUAAAUAAUAAGGUUUGAUAGAUUAUGGUUAUAGUUCUACAACAUUUCCAAAAUGUUUUGAUCUUCAUUUCUACAUUUCUGGCAUUGAUGAUGCAAUAUUUUACAUUUUUAAUUAAAGCUUGUGUUUAGAUUAUGAUGGCAGAGAAGUUUGGAAGGCAGUUCCAAACAGCAGUGGCACACCUUGUUCCUUUCAGUUCAGGAUCCCUUGAACAGUGGUGCGAACUUCUGGUCCUGCUUUGACAUUUGUGUGGGAUGUGGUCUGCCCUCAUUCGUGAUGCAUCAUGUGCCCUCCUUUCACUGCUCUGCUGACCCCUGUGGAGUCAAUGGCAAUUUAAAGUUUCGUUUUAUACCAUUUAGCUCUUGCAAAACAAGUUUUAAAGUGUAGAAAUAAAGGUGAUAUGUGAAGUAUUAAGGUCCCAUGCUUUGGUAGAGCUCCACUAUUCUUAAAAUUAACCAGGUAUGUGCUCUGUAUCUGGUAGAGCACUGGGUAGAGUGCUUCAGAAUGGUUAACUCUUCAGAAUAGCUUAUUUCUAAUAUAUUCUAGCAUUAGAAUAUAUUCUGACUGGAUAAGAAAUAUAUUAGAAAUACAUUCUGAGUUAGAAAACACAUGCUUUGUGUUAAAAAAAUAGCAUUGAAUUUACAUUCUUGGUUUCUCAUUUUUUUUCUCAGAAAUCCACAUUAGUUUUGCACGUAUAUGAACUUAGCACGGUUUGGGGGUUGCAGGUUCCUCUUCUUCGUGACUCAGUAUUGAUUUGAUCUUUGGAGCCAUGGGCCCUUUAACUUGCUAGUUUCAGGUUGUAGAAAUGCCCAGUAGGACUUACUCAUUAUUUUAACAUUCCAAAGGUUUUGUAAUCGUUUGUUGCUAUUUUGGUAAUGACCACUACAUCUUCUCCAUUAUCUGCCUUCAAAUGACCGUUCUACCCGAAGAAGAUGUGGCCUCAGGCAUAGUGGCUGCCGCGAGUUUGAGAUGUGGCAGUAUGAGUUGCAGUGCUGUCUGCUGACACAACACUCUAAAACCAGAUUGUGGUCUGUAAUAUAUCCUAAUAGAUUUUUUUGCUAAACAAAGUAGUAUCUUUAAAAUUUUAUUAAGUUUUCUGGGAAAUGAUGACUUUUAUAUCAAUUUAAACCAUUUCCAAUGUGUUUAUUUCUUGGAUUUUUACCAAAGUAAUGAGCAUCAUGAUUACAUUAAUAUCUAGGCAAUAAAAAAAGGUCAGAGUUAGCUAUAAACAUAUAUUUUAAUAGUAGUUUCCUAAUUAUAUAAUCAUUGUAGGAAAUUUAAAACAUUCAGUAAUUUCUAAAGAUGGAAGAGACUGGGAAGCAAAAGAAAAAAAUUAUCUGUAAUUCUACCAAAGUUAACUUCUUUCAAGCCUGGCUUCAAUGCACAUUAUAUGUUAUGACCUAUUCUUUUCAAUUAAUGUAUUGAGACUAUUCCAUUUUAAUAAAAAUUAAUUUGACAGCAUGA